CUGUGACGUGCGCUACCUCGCUGGCUCUGUGCAGCAACACUACAGAAGUAACACAUGUGAAUAUUGCUGUGUGCUAUAGCGAGGUAGUGUACCCUGCUCCUGAAUACCAGAGGGAACAAGGAAGGGUGGCUUGUGUUGGCUGAACUCCACUCACCUGGUGUGGGUCAGCAAGAUUCCCUGAAUGCCCAGCUGAGAACAAAGGAGGGAAUGUAAUCAAUGACCAUCAUCUGCCGAGCAGGGACAAGCGGGAGGAAAACUGGGGCCAAUUUAGUCUGCAUAUUCAUUGAUUUCCAUAGACUGCUACUUGGACACAGUACACAGUGUAGAGAUGGCACUUCAGGACAAUGUUUCCACAUACAAACAAUACAGCAUCAACUGAAUAUUUCUCAUACUCUCCUCACAAAGCAACUUUUUUAUUACUAGAUUAAAAUGAAAUAAAAUAGAUACAGGUAUA